GGUUUCGUGCUGUGCUCUAAUGGUAACCAGAAAAUGGGAUUCUGAGAACCGUUUUGACAAAUAGCAGCUACAUCACAAAGCAUGAGUAAGCCACAUUUCAAAUGGAGGAGGGUUUAAUGGCCUAAUAACCAAGACGUGAGAGAAAGCAGCUAACAGGAAGACAGAAGUCACUCUUACGGUCGCAAGAACACAAACCAACAUCUUCCAAAGCGAGAACUGUAAACGCUGAGAAGUCACGAAGUCAUUCCAUUCUAUGAGGAACGGUGUCAUGCACCCUUUGAUUUAGUAACGAAGCUAUGAAAAAGACAGAAACGUACUGCUGCAGUGCCAUAGGUGGAGAGACUCACCAAUUAAGUGGCGAAUUGACUCCAAUACGGAUCGGACGCCUCCGUUUCCCAGUCACGGGUGCUUGACAACACUCAGGAUCUGUGCGUGCUCUUUUGAACCUAAACUAAAUCCAAACAGAAAUCCCAAAAGCUUGCACCUUCCUUAAUACAGCUGGUUUGAGUGACAUGAGGUCGCUCAACUUUGUCAUAAACCCCCGCUGCCUUGGCCACGCCCACAGAAAAGAAGCCUCUGGAAUCUAGGAAGUCGCGUGAGACAACAUGAUCUGAUGGUUUAAAUGUAACCAUCUGUUGUAGUUAACCUUGACUGUCAACUCGAUGGGAUGGAGAAUCAUCACGGCAUUUCUGUGGGGGAGUUUCUACAUCAAGUUCACUGAAGUGGGGAGACCCACCCUAAACACAGGCAGCACCGUGACAUGGGCUGGGGUGUAAAACUACAUAAAAGGAAAGC